CGUAAAGCAAAAUGGUAUUGCAAUUAACUGUCACUUAAUGUUUGUGGGUUCGAUCCCCACUGCG
rfam:Strongylocentrotus purpuratus Contig62473_fixed, whole genome shotgun sequence.